GGGGUGAUGGCUCAGUUGGGAGAGCGUAUGACUGAAGAUCAACUUCAAUCCAGCCACCAGGCAAUCAUAAGGUCCCCGGUUCGAUCCCGGGUCACCCCA
rnacentral:tRNA from 2 species